rnacentral:lncRNA from 1 species
AAGCAGUUUGUGAUCCCCCAAAAAGCUAAGAACUACUUCCUAGAGCAAAGGGAGAUUUUGCUACACUUAGAGAUUUACACAUUUGACCAGGGCAGCUCACACAAGUGGGAUGCGGUUUCACAUUUCAUGGCAGAUCUGCUUCCAGCUAUACAAAUUCAUCAAGAAAAUAUUGUAAUACUUCUAUAUGAGUCAGGAAUUCACUAUAUUUAACUUAUUUGGAAUAAGAACCACUAUAUAUAUACAAGUUUUUCCAAAAGACUGAAGGUUCUUCCGCAGCUCAAAUGAUUUUUCUGUACAUUCAGAAAGUGAAUUUGAAUAUUUGAUGGACAGUAACUGCUUAAGACAGGAAAAAGGGGGAGAUUAUAGCUUUUAACUUUUUUUUAUAGCAGAGCGUUAAGGAAAAAAAAGUGCAGAUAAAUGAGAUCAAAUGGCAAGUGUCUGAACCUGCUGGACACAAGUCCCGGUAGCCAUUGAUAGACAGUGUUUAUAUGACUUCUGGGCCAUCAAUAGAUAGAUAAGGUACGUCAGCGGCCAAUGUUCCAGGAAGUUUGAGAAGAUAAAUGGAAGUUGCACAACAGCCCAAGAGCUUCCUUAGGAGAGGUGGGUCGGGUUAAAGGUAAGAGAAGGGCUUUGGGGCAUCACAUUAAGUAGUUACCAGAUUGAACUGCAAACAU